rnacentral:snoRNA from 1 species
AUGGACAUUGUCCAGUGGUGAGCCGACAGUAAGCCCAGCUGUAGGAGAUAGGGUUGUCCUACGUGGGGAUAGCUCUAUGCCGAAAGCAUAGGGAAGACUA